CCCUUAGAUGUUCUGGGCCGCACGCGCGCUACACUGUUCGACGCAGCGAGUCUUAACCUUGACCGAAAGGUUUGGGUAAUCUUCAGCAAAGUCGAACGUGAUGGGGAUCGAUCAUUGCAAUUAUUGAUCGUGAACGAGGAAUUCCUAGUAAGUGCAAGUCAUCAGCUUGCGCUGAUUACGUCCCUGCCCUUUGUACACACCGCCCGUCGCUACUACCGAUUGAAUGGCUGGGUGAAGAAGACGGACACGGCCGCCCUAAAAAGCGGGCGUUGGAAGUCUUCUCAACCUAGGUCAUUUAGAGGAAGUAAAAGUCGUAACA
rnacentral:rRNA from 1 species